GUUAUAUGGUCAAGCGAAUAAGCGCACACGGUGGAUGCCUAGGCGGUCAGAGGCGAUGAAGGACGUGGUAGCCUGCGAAAAGUGUCGGGGAGCUGGCAACAAGCUUUGAUCCGGCAAUAUCCGAAUGGGGAAACCCACUGCUUCGGCAGUAUCUUGCAGUGAAUUCAUAGCUGCUGGAAGCGAACCCGGUGAACUGAAAUAUCUAAGUAACCGGAGGAAAAGAAAUCAACCGAGAUUCCCUAAGUAGUGACGAGCGAACGGGGAGCAGCCCUUAAGCUGGAAUGGCUUUAGAAAAACAAUCUGGAAAGAUUGGCCAUAGAAGGUGAUAGCCCUGUAUUUAAAAGGGCCACUCCAGUGAAGACGAGUAGGGCGGGGCACGUGAAACCCUGUCUGAAUAUGGGGGGACCAUCCUCCAAGGCUAAAUACUCCUGACCGACCGAUAGUGAACCAGUACCGUGAGGGAAAGGCGAAAAGAACCCCGGAGAGGGGAGUGAAAUAGAUCCUGAAACCGUGUGCGUACAAGCAGUAGGAGCUCGCAAGAGUGACUGCGUACCUUUUGUAUAAUGGGUCAGCGACUUACUGUUCGUGGCAAGCUUAACCGUAUAGGGGAGGCGAAGGGAAACCGAGUCUGAUAAGGGCGCAUAGUCGCGGGCAGUAGACCCGAAACCGGGUGAUCUAGUCAUGGCCAGGGUGAAGGUGCCGUAACAGGUACUGGAGGCCCGAACCCACGUCUGUUGCAAAAGACGGGGAUGAGCUGUGAUUAGGAGUGAAAAGCUAAUCGAACCCGGAGAUAGCUGGUUCUCCUCGAAAGCUAUUUAGGUAGCGCCUCGGACGAAUACUACUGGGGGUAGAGCACUGUUAUGGCUAGGGGGUCAUCGCGACUUACCAAACCAUUGCAAACUCCGAAUACCAGUACGUACUAUCCGGGAGACACACGGCGGGUGCUAACGUCCGUCGUGAAAAGGGAAACAACCCAGACCCACAGCUAAGGUCCCAAAUUCACUGCUAAGUGGAAAACGAUGUGGAAAGGCAUAGACAGCCAGGAGGUUGGCUUAGAAGCAGCCACCCUUUAAAGAAAGCGUAAUAGCUCACUGGUCGAGUCGGUCUGCGCGGAAGAUUUAACGGGGCUAAGCAGUGAACCGAAGCUUGGGGUGCAUAAAACUUGUUUUAUGCGCGGUAGAGGAGCGUUCCGUAAGCCUGCGAAGGUGGAUUGAGAAGUCUGCUGGAGGUAUCGGAAGUGCGAAUGCUGACAUGAGUAACGAUAAUGCGGGUGAAAAGCCCGCACGCCGAAAGCCCAAGGUUUCCUUGCGCAACGUUAAUCGACGCAGGGUUAGUCGGUCCCUAAGGCGAGGGCGAAAGCCGUAGUCGAUGGGAAGCAGGUUAAUAUUCCUGCACCUCGCGUGAGUGCGAUGGAGGGACGGAGAAGGUUAGGUGUACCGGGCGUUGGUUGUCCCGGGGAAAGGCGGUAGGUUUGGAUCUUUGGCAAAUCCGGGAUCCUUUAAGACCGAGCACCGAGACGAGCCUUUAUGGCGAAGUCACUGAUACCACGCUUCCAGGAAAAGCUCCUAAGCUUCAGCUCACGAAGACCGUACCGUAAACCGACACAGGUGGGUAGGAUGAGAAUUCUCAGGCGCUUGAGAGAACUCGGGUGAAGGAACUAGGCAACAUGGCACCGUAACUUCGGGAGAAGGUGCACCCUUUUUGGUGGCUCAUGCGAGCUAUAGCUGAAGAGGGUCGCAGAAACCAGGCCGCUGCGACUGUUUAUCAAAAACACAGCACUCUGCAAACACGAAAGUGGACGUAUAGGGUGUGACGCCUGCCCGGUGCUGGAAGGUUAAUUGAUGGGGUCAGCCGCAAGGCGAAGCUCUUGAUCGAAGCCCCAGUAAACGGCGGCCGUAACUAUAACGGUCCUAAGGUAGCGAAAUUCCUUGUCGGGUAAGUUCCGACCUGCACGAAUGGCGUAACGACAGCGGCGCUGUCUCCACCCGAGACUCAGUGAAAUUGAAAUCGCUGUGAAGAUGCAGCGUUCCCGUGGCAAGACGGAAAGACCCCGUGAACCUUUACUAUAGCUUUACACUGAACGUUGAGUUCGUCUGUGUAGGAUAGGUGGGAGGCUAUGAAACUGUGGCGCUAGCUGCAGUGGAGCCAUCCUUGAAAUACCACCCUGUCGUGCUUGACGUUCUAACCUAGAUCCGUUAUCCGGAUCAGGGACCGUGUAUGGUGGGUAGUUUGACUGGGGCGGUCUCCUCCUAAAGAGUAACGGAGGAGCACGAAGGUACGCUCAGCGCGGUCGGACAUCGCGCACUGUGUGCAAAGGCAUAAGCGUGCUUGACUGCAAGAUCGACGGAUCAAGCAGGUACGAAAGUAGGUCUUAGUGAUCCGGUGGUUCUGUAUGGAAGGGCCAUCGCUCAACGGAUAAAAGGUACUCCGGGGAUAACAGGCUGAUACCGCCCAAGAGUUCAUAUCGACGGCGGUGUUUGGCACCUCGAUGUCGGCUCAUCACAUCCUGGGGCUGUAGUCGGUCCCAAGGGUAUGGCUGUUCGCCAUUUAAAGUGGUACGCGAGCUGGGUUCAGAACGUCGUGAGACAGUUCGGUCCCUAUCUGCCAUGGGCGUUGGAAGUUUGAGAGGGGCUGCUCCUAGUACGAGAGGACCGGAGUGGACGAACCUCUGGUGUUCCGGUUGUCACGCCAGUGGCAUUGCCGGGUAGCUAUGUUCGGAAGCGAUAACCGCUGAAAGCAUCUAAGCGGGAAGCGCGCCUCAAGAUGAGACUUCCCGGGGCACAAGCCCCCUAAAGGAACCAUAUAGACUAUGUGGUUGAUAGGUCAGGUGUGUAAGUACAGCAAUGUAUUGAGCUAACUGAUACUAAUGAUCCGUGCGGCUUGACCAUAUAACCUCA
rnacentral:rRNA from 1 species